GUCAUAGUUUAGUGGCAGAGCACCUGUUCUGCAUUCAGAAGGUUGCCAGGUUCAAUCCCUGGCAUCUACG